AGAAUCAACGCUGGCGGCGUGCCUAACACAUGCAAGUCGAACGGGAAAGUGGAGCAAUCCAUGAGUAUAGUGGCGACCGGGUGAGUAACACGUGACUAACCUACCCUGGAGUGGGGGAUAACUGAGGGAAACCUUAGCUAAUACCGCAUAAUACCUACGGGUCAAAGGAGCAAUUCGCUUCAGGAGGGGGUCGCGGCCGAUUAGUUAGUUGGCGGGGUAAUGGCCCACCAAGACAGUGAUCGGUAUCCGGCCUGAGAGGGCGCACGGACACACUGGAACUGAAACACGGUCCAGACUCCUACGGGAGGCAGCAGUGGGGAAUUUUGCGCAAUGGGGGAAACCCUGACGCAGCAACGCCGCGUGGAGGAUGAAGUCCUUCGGGACGUAAACUCCUUUCGAUCGGGACGAUAAUGACGGUACCGGAAGAAGAAGCCCGGCUAACUUCGCGCCAGCAGCCGC
rnacentral:rRNA from 1 species